rnacentral:rRNA from 1 species
AUACCCCGGUAGUCCUGGCAGUAAACGGUGCACGUUUGGUGUGGGAGGAUUCGACCCCUUCCGUGCCGGAGCUAACGCGUUAAACGUGCCGCCUGGGAAGUACGGUCGCAAGAUUAAAACUCAAAGAAAUUGACGGGGGCCCGCACAAGCGGUGGAGUAUGUGGCUUAAUUCGAUGCAACGCGAAGAACCUUACCUGGCCUUGACAUGCAUCUCUAAGUUGGUGAAAGCCAGCGAGUGUAGCAAUACACAAUUUGCACAGGUGCUGCAUGGCUGUCGUCAGCUCGUGUCGUGAGAUGUUGGGUUAAGUCCCGCAACGAGCGCAACCCUCGUCCUUAGUUGCCAUCAUUUGGUUGGGCACUCUAAGGAAACCGCCGGUGAUAAGCCGGAGGAAGGUGGGGAUGACGUCAAGUCCUCAUGGCCCUUACACGCUGGGCUACACACGUGCUACAAUGGCGGUGACAGUGGGUUAAUCCCAAAAAGCCGUCUCAGUUCGGAUUGUCCUCUGCAACUCGAGGGCAUGAAGGCGGAAUCGCUAGUAAUCGCGGAUCAGCAUGCCGCGGUGAAUACGUUCCCAGGCCUUGUACACACCGCCCGUCACACCAUGGGAGUUGGUUUCACCCGAAGGCAGUGCGCUAACCGCAAGGAGGCAGGCGACCACGGUAGGGUCAGCGACUGGGGUGAAGUCGUAACAAGGUAGCCG